AGCAGCCGCGGUAAUUCCAGCUCCAAUAGCGUAUAUUAAAGUUGUUGCAGUUAAAAAGCUCGUAGUUGAAUUUCGGGAUCAAUCUAUCGGUCGUGCAAUAGUACGUACUGAUUUUAUUGAUUCCUACCUUCUGAUGAACUAUGAUGUCAUUAAUUUGGUGUCAUAGGGAAUCAGGACUGUUACUUUGAAAAAAUUAGAGUGUUUAAAGCAGGCUCACGCUUGAAUACAUUAGCAUGGAAUAACGAAAUAGGACGUUUGAUUCUAUUUUGUUGGUUUCUAGGAUCGACGUAAUGAUUAAUAGGGAUAGUUGGGGGCAUUAGUAUUCAAUUGUCAGAGGUGAAAUUCUUGGAUUUAUUGAAGACUAACUACUGCGAAAGCAUUUGCCAAGGAUGUUUUCAUUAAUCAAGAACGAAAGUUAGGGGAUCGAAGACGAUCAGAUACCGUCGUAGUCUUAACCAUAAACUAUGCCGACUAGGGAUCGGAUGAUGUUAAUUUUUUAAUGA
rnacentral:sRNA from 1 species